ACUACUCACAGUUAUCUUCUUCUAAAACACUUAAACCCUAAUUCUCUUGCCAAAUCUCCCGCUUCCUUUUUCUACUUCUUUCUCUAUUCUCCCAAAAUUCUCACCUCACAAAGAAACGCUGUAAUGUCUAUUUUAAGGUUAUUGAUGCUGAAUUUUUUCAUUAACAAUUAAUUCCUUCAUUUCUUCGAGAAAUAAUGGGCUGAAAUCUGUAAAAAAAAAAACGAAAAGGACCACUACGCGCUUGCUAAAGCAAUCCUAAUUCAAUUGAGAGGAGAGGAGACAGAAAGACUGACUCUUUAAGAGAAAAGUCAUGAAGGAGUACAUUGUUGAAGUUUAGUUGAAGAAAAUAUUAGAAAUCAUAGCAAAAUAUAGAAUUAUCUUUGUAAUUUUUUGUGGUUACCUAUUACAACACAAUAUAUUCUUUUCUUUUUGGCUACAAUGAUGCUCAUAACAACCUAGUAUAUAAUACAUUUUUAGAAAUGCUCUAAUAUUAUUUGUGUGUUGCUUAUUUAUAUUGGAAUUGAUGUACAUGGUUGACACGGGA